rnacentral:rRNA from 1 species
UACGUAGGGUGCGAGCGUUGUCCGGAAUUAUUGGGCGUAAAGAGCUCGUAGGCGGUCUGUCGCGUCGGCUGUGAAAACCCGGAGCUCAACUCCGGGCCUGCAGUCGAUACGGGCAGGCUUGAGUUCGGUAGGGGAGACUGGAAUUCCUGGUGUAGCGGUGAAAUGCGCAGAUAUCAGGAGGAACACCGGUGGCGAAGGCGGGUCUCUGGGCCGAUACUGACGCUGAGGAGCGAAAGCGUGGGGAGCGAACAGG